AUCCCAGAUAAGCGAUGUCGCUAGUGCUUAUCUGAUUCAUAGGAGGUCGACAUCAAUCCAUGGCAGUUUCGCUGAUAGCAUCUUCUUUUUUUUUUCCUCUAGUGAAGAUGUUUCAUUAGUAGCUCGCCAUACACAC